rnacentral:misc_RNA from 1 species
AGCGUUGUUGCCGCUGAAGUGUCGAGUGUCACCACACAGCGCUACGAUGUCGCGCUUUUUCCGGGCUUAUGGGGUACUCACGAGUUUAUUUACGGGCGUGAACUGAGCGACAAGGUUUGCGUGGCGUCUCCAGUCGCUGGUACCGUGUGGAAUAGGGUGUAGUUGGGGAAACGCAAGCACUACUCAGCAAGUGGCGCGGCGAGUAUGUGUGCGUUCAGCAGCGCGCAUCUACCUCGAACUGGAUUUCGACGGGCGCUCUGGCACACUGUACCACACGUAUGUGGGUUCGGUAGAACGCGGGAGUAUCUGGGAGGGAAAUCUUGUGUCUUUUGCUCGUUACUGACUGCGUUCAAGUUUUCCAGGGAUCCUGUUGUGACGCGGCAUUCCGUUGGCUUAAAAAAAAGUCGUUAAGAGCUGAAAACUGUUAAGAAAGAGAAGUGAUUUUUUGGUUAAGACGAUCUUGAGGAAAAAUACGUUCUUGUUCGGCUCGAGGCUGCAAUUGUUGAAAGCUUUGGCGAGAGCGCGCCGCUCGAGUGAAGGCCUCGACGCCAGCUUGCCACAACGUCAUUUUGGACAAACUCGCAGUACGGGUCGGUAGCAAUAGAAAACUAGGUCGCGCUUGGUAUGCCUGGCGGAAAUGCAAUCCAUGUUGAUCGUGAGUCUUGGUUUUCGACAUUCGAGGUGUCCCGAUAACUGUACCAACUGUCGCCGACGCUCCGAGUGGAAACAGGAUGUUGACUUAUCGGAUACCUCUAGGGUUUCUACCUCGUUCUCGUCGCUAGCUGCUUUAUAGACGUAAUCCGCGGCUUUGUACGGUUUUCACGAAAUACGAGCGUUUUGAAGCUUCCUUCGGGGCUUUGCGGCGACCGCCGCCGAUCUACCACAGCAACGCUUUCGCCAUGCGCCCUGACCAUACCCGUGCACGCUUUCCAAAAGGACGCUCAAAUUCUGUUCAAGGAUUAGCAGCAAUCGUCUAUGGACUUGAACAUAGGUUGAGUACGGAUCUAUGCUCCGCAGCUGCCGCGAGCGCGCCCGGUGCAACGCCCGAGCACGUUACCUCGUGGGAUGAGCGAGAGAAUGCGCUCUCCGAGGCUCACGCUUUCCAAGCAAGCUGAGCGUUCUCCAUACCUGGUAACAGCAAAGUCUUGCUGUAGCAUCGAUUUCACUAGACCGUGGCGGAGUCAUCUGCCACGGACGACGUGCUCCAGUGGCGGUUUUCUGUCAUGCGAAAAGAUGGUGCUCGCGUAUACCAUGUCAGUAUUGGUACAUGUUCUGAUUCGAAUCUGAGCGGCAGAUGAAGGUUCCAGCACGCUGCACAAAGAAUCGUCUUCUCAGACGCUUGUUCUCACGACAGGUUAAUCGCACAUAUUCUUACGCAAAUGGCAAUGAUAUGAAAGCAGCGCUUGUCUUGGAGUGCUUGGGGGCUCCCCGCACGCACCUCGUAUCGGCGAUACGAAAGUGAUCCGCGUCUAUGGCUACAACAAAGCUGUGGACAGCGUCCGGACACGUGUCCACGGCGUCAUGCGUGCGCAGGUCUGGUCCAAGUAGCAUGCACCUGCACCGGACGUGCUUCGCGCCUACGAGGCUACGUCGAACGUCAUUCAUGAAAGCACGAUGUCAUGUAAACGCCAAGACGCAUCGCGACACGUUUGGAACCACGAAUGCGAUCUCGUGGGGAUGUGUCGAGUGUCGGCAAUGAAAUGCUGUGCUGGUGUCAAUCUAUAGAUCAUCGCUUUAUAACAAGUCGCGUCGAGCACCUCGCCCUGGUUAACGGAGUGAUAGAUGGAUGCAAAGGCGUGCUGCCCCUGGCAACGUGGGUACACAUCUUCACUUCUUUGUUCUAGCCCAAAACCACUGAUUCGCUCGUAUCCAGGUAGAUACCUGGACUUCGAUGUUCUCGAUUCGGCGCUCAUGGUGAGUAUCUCUGAAUGCAGCGCGCGGAUCCAAAACAGCUCAAGGAGGUCGUCGCUGGGGAAAGCGGCUACCUGCAGACUGCGAUUUUUCAGAGUGUUCUACCCGUUCUCCAUUGGAGCAUCACCGCCAUUUCUUGACAAGAAAAAAACGAAGACCCAAGUGCGUCAUUUAGAACCGUUUUGCUGCCCUUCUCGCCACGAGCACUUGAUCGAGCAGGCGUAGUGCCUCUGUACCGUCCUUGGGCAACGCAUCGAUCACAGCGUCGGCGCCUUCGAAGCUCUCAAAACGCGUGUAAGCACUCUUUGUCACGAGGCAGCAUAAUCCAGCUGCUUUCGCGGCUUUCACGCCAAUGGCAGAGUCCUCAAUCACAACGGUGUGGUUUGGAUCCAAUCGCAUCUGCUCUAUCGCUAACAGGUAAAUAUCCGGGGCGGGCUUUUUCCGCGGGACCACAUCACCCGCGAAUACUCGUAUUCUCGGAGCAA